CGCAGUCUGACCAGCCAUGCCGCGUGCAGGAUGACGGUCCUAUGGAUUGUAAACUGCUUUUGUACGAGAAGAAACAUCCCGACGUGUCGGGACUUGACGGUAUCGUAAGAAUAAGGAUCGGCUAACUCCGUGCCAGCAGCCGCGGUAAUACGGAGGAUCCAAGCGUUAUCCGGAAUCAUUGGGUUUAAAGGGUCCGUAGGCGGUUUAGUAAGUCAGUGGUGAAAGCCCAUCGCUCAACGGUGGAACGGCCAUUGAUACUGCUGAACUUGAAUUAUUAGGAAGUAACUAGAAUAUGUAGUGUAGCGGUGAAAUGCUUAGAUAUUACAUGGAAUACCAAUUGCGAAGGCAGGUUACUACUAAUUGAUUGACGCUGAUGGACGAAAGCGUGGGGAGCGAACAGGAUUAGAUACCCUGGUAGUCCACGCCGUAAACGAUGGAUACUAGCUGUUGGGAGCAAUCUCAGUGGCUAAGCGAAAGUGAUAAGUAUCCCACCUGGGGAGUACGUUCGCAAGAAUGAAACUCAAAGGAAUUGACGGGGGCCCGCACAAGCGGUGGAGCAUGUGGUUUAAUUCCAUGAUACGCGAGGAACCUUACCAAGGCUUAAAUGUAGAUUGACCGUUUUUGGAAACAGAACUUUC
rnacentral:rRNA from 1 species